rnacentral:lncRNA from 10 species
GAAAGAAAGAAAGAAAGAAAGAAAAGGAAAAGAAAAGAAAAGAAAAGAAAGGAAAAGAAACCACCAACCAAGAAAAUCAGCAGAUUUGGAGACAGGUACAGAGGCUCGAUCAUGGCCACACUUCCUCCUGGCUACAUGAUCCCUCAAGGCAGAUGGAGAACAAAGGUGAAGGAACUGGCAUCUUUAUCCCCAGACAAAGCCACCAGGAUGCAAGCAAGCACUGGAUGGGGCCCUUAGACUCAAACAGAACAACUGAAGGGAGGAUGUGGCUGGGACCUCUUUGUGGCCUCAGUUUAUCAAUCUGGAAAAUAAGUGUCGUGACCAGGUCAGACCUCUAUGCCAUGGAGCUAGGGACGGGCGAGGCUCCUGGGCUGGGCAAAGCCUUCAAGCCCCAGGCAAGGCCUGCCCACUGGACCACGAGCAGCCUCCACCCUGAGGAUAAGAUCCUGUGGACUCUAGGAGAGUGAAAGGCAGGCCUGCAAAGUGAGAAACCUCAGGGGGAGGCAGAGCAGGAGACUCUUCUUCCUGCUUGAAAGACAAGGACCCUGAGCUCCAAGAAGUCAAAGGAUUUGGCCCAGGACAUAUAGCCAGGCAAUGACAGGUCCAGAAAAAGGGCAAAAACUGCUGAGCAAAGAUCAACUGUUCUGGACCAUCCUCACCCCAAUUCUGCUCCUUGAGCCAUGAGCACACUGGGCAGAGGAGCUGGCAGGGUGCUCUCUGAUGUAAGGACUCAGUUAAGCACUUACUGAGGUCCUGCUUUGAGCAAAAACCUGGGAAAUGCAAAGACAGACACUAAUAAACUCUCAUAUCUGGCAAGAGCCUUACAGUUUGCAAAGUACUUCCUCAUACAUGGUUGCAUUUGCCAUAUUCCUGAUAACCAAGGUAAGUAACGAUUAAUCUCAUGCCCACUGUCUGCUAGGGAGUUAGUGGCAAAGAGGAGAUUAGAGUUUAGUCAUCCAGCACCUAAUCCACAGCUCUUCCUGCUGUGAACCCAGGUAAUGAGGGCCCAAGCUGCCUAGGCCCUCUGUGACUAGAAAGGUUGAUAUUGGCCAUGGGGCCAAUGCCAGGGCCAGCUCAGGCUUCACUCACAGGGCAGAAUCUCUGUUCCUUCCCAAGCAGGCAGAGCCCAGUGGGCAGGGUAGGAGGAUGCUCUAAGUCCAGGAUGUGGUUGGCUCUCUUUCCAGAACCCAGACACAAGGGAUUGGUCAUUGUAUCCUACCCUUAAAUUCUGAACCCAGCCGAAACUGGCCAAGUGCUGACAAAGGAGCUUUUGUGGGAGAGGUGCAUGGGGCUUCUGACAGCAAUGUCAGGGAGGAGAGGUCCUAAGGUGGCCCAAAGACGCUUGACCUUGCUUCCUAAACUCUGGUUUAUUAAAGAAGACUCACCUGUUUAUUGUUUAUCUUUCUCCCCACUAUAACUUCAGCUU